CUAAGGAGCUAACGCAUUGUUAAGAAGCAAUGGCAUAGAAACGAAUGAAAGUUAGUUUCCAAGGUCGGUCGGGUUCUAAGAUGAAAGAUGAAAUAUACACUGUUUAAUUUUGAAUGUUCAACCAACCGACAAUACAAAGAUACGUUGAACAUGCAAGUUGACAAUUGGACUUUAAGCUGGUAAAAUACUUUUCCGGCCAUAAGGCAGCAGGUUGUCAUCUGUUUAUGUUAAUGGUUAUAUGGGCUCAUAGCUCAGAUGGUUAGAGCGCACGCCUGAUAAGCGUGAGGUCGGUGGUUCGAUUCCACUUGAGCCCACCAGUACCAGGGGAAAAGCCUGGUAUAGUGAUCCUUGAAAAUUGUAUAAUAUAUAGCUCAAUGCGUGUUUUAGCAAGUGAAAGCUGCUAAAACCACGCCAGACAGAUUUUUUGUUUAGGGUAUUUAAUCACAGCCUAAAAAAAUAAAUGUCUGGGUAACGAUCGUAAAUAACGACAGUUACAAACUUAGGAGAACAGGACUGUAAAGAAGUCAAACUCACUAUGCAUAUAACUUUGCAGGUUAUAUGGAAGUGUAAUCAAUGUGAUAUAUGUUGGUUGCACGUUAGAAUUUUUUUGCAAAAGUAAAACGAUGGGCAAAGACCCAGAAGGUUUUACUAUAGAUUGCAAAUGAAUUCAUGGUGUGUUUUUGCAAAAAAAAGAACUAGUUUUUCUAAUAAAUUGCAAAAACCACACUUUAGGUCAAGCUAUUAAGAGCAUAGGGUGAAUGCCUUGGCACCAGGAGCCGAUGAAGGACGUGACAAGCUGCGA
rnacentral:misc_RNA from 1 species